CCUACGGGAGGCAGCAGUGGGGAAUAUUGCGCAAUGGGGGAAACCCUGAUGCAGCAACGCCGCGUGAAGGAAGACGGUUUUCGGAUUGUAAACCUCUGUUCUUAGGGAAGAAUAAUGACGGUAGCUAAUGAGCAAGCCACGGCUGACUACGAGCCAGGAGCCGCGGUAAUCCGUAGGUGAGAAGCGUUGUCCGGACUUAGUGGGUGUAAAGGGAGCGUAGACGGUAGUGCAAGUGCGGAGUGAAAGGCGGGGGCUCAACCCACGGACGGCACUGGAAAUUGUACGGCUUGAGUGCAGGAGAGGUAAGUGGAAUUCCUAGUGUAGCGGUGAAAUGCGUAGAUAUUAGGAGGAACACCAGUGGCGAAGGUGGCUUACUGGACUGUAACUGACGUUGAGGCUCGAAAGCGUGGGGAGCAAACAGGAUUAGAUACCCGAGUAGUC
rnacentral:rRNA from 1 species